ACGGAGGAUCCAAGCGUUAUCCGGAUUUACUGGGUUUAAAGGGUGCGUAGGCGGAUUGAUAAGUCAGUGGUGAAAGCCUACAGCUUAACUGUAGAACUGCCAUUGGUACUGCCAGUCUGGAGUAUGGUAGAGGAAGCUGGAAUGUGUCAUGUAGCGGUGAAAUGCGCAGAUAUCAGGAGGAACACCGACGGCGAAGGCAGGUUUCUGGGCUGUUACUGACGCUGAGGCGCGAAAGCAUGGGGAGCGAACAG
rnacentral:rRNA from 1 species